rnacentral:rRNA from 1 species
CCCUUAGAUGUUCUGGGCCGCACGCGUGCUACACUGAGUGGAUCAGCGGGUCAGGUUGCGCGAAAGCGUUUCCUAAUCUUUAAAUCCGCUCGUGAUGGGGAUUGACGGUUGCAAUUUUCUGUCAUGAACGAGGAAUACCUUGUAAGCGCGGGUCAUCAUCCCGCGCUGAAUACGUCCCUGCCCUUUGUACACACCGCCCGUCGCUCCUACCGAUUGAGUGGUCCGGUGAGGCUUUUGGAUCUGAGCGGAAAGAGCGUUUCGCUGUUUCUGCUCGGAAAACUCAGUCGAACCUUAUCAUUUAGAGGAAGGAGAAGUCGUAACA